UACGAAGGGGGCUAGCGUUGCUCGGAAUCACUGGGCGUAAAGCGUGCGCAGGCGGUCCGCAAAGUCUGAUGUGAAAGCCCCGGGCUCAACCUGGGAACUGCAUUGGAAACUAACGGGCUCGAGUGUGGCAGAGGGGGGUGGAAUUCCACGUGUAGCAGUGAAAUGCGUAGAGAUGUGGAGGAACACCGAUGGCGAAGGCGGCUCACUGGUCCGGUACUGACGCUGAGGUGCGAAAGCGUGGGGAGCAAACAGG
rnacentral:rRNA from 1 species